rnacentral:rRNA from 1 species
CUAGCUGUAAACGAUGGAUACUAGGCGUUGAGAGUAUCGACCCUCUCAGUGUCGUAGCUAACGCGUUAAGUAUCCCGCCUGGGGAGUACGCGCGCAAGCGUGAAACUCAAAGGAAGUUGACGGGGGCCCGCACAAGCGGUGGAGUAUGUGGUUUAAUUCGAUGCAACGCGAAGAACCUUACCAGGGCUUGACAUGUCCGGAACCCUGCCCAAAGGCGGGGGUGCCUACGGGAACCGGAACACAGGUGGUGC